UACGUAGGGGCCAAGCGUUGUCCGGAUUUAUUGGGCGUAAAGAGCUCGUAGGCGGUUCGGCAAGUCAGGUGUGAAAUCUCCGCGCUCAACGCGGAGGGGUCACCUGAAACUGCUGUGACUAGAGUCCGGUAGGGGAGUGUGGAAUUCCAGGUGUAGCGGUGAAAUGCGUAGAUAUCUGGAGGAACACCGGUGGCGAAGGCGGCCCCCUCGG
rnacentral:rRNA from 1 species